UAGCGGAACUCCUACGGGAGGCAGCAGUGGGGAAUUUUGGACAAUGGGGGCAACCCUGAUCCAGCAAUGCCGCGUGAGUGGAGAAGGCCUUCGGGUUGUAAAGCUCUUUUGUCAGGGAAGAAACGGCAGUAGCUAAUAUCUAUUACUAAUGACGGUACCUGAAGAAUAAGCACCGGCUAACUACGUGCCAGCAGCCGCGGUAAUACGUAGGGUCCAAGCGUUAAUCGGAAUUACUGGGCGUAAAGCGUGCGCAGGCGGUUGUGUAAGUCAGAUGUGAAAUCCCCGGGCUCAACCUGGGAAUUGCAUGUAAAGCUGCACGGCUAGAGUGUGGCAGAGGGGGGUAGAAUUCCACGUGUAGCAGUGAAAUGCGUAGAUAUGGGGAGGAAUACCGAUGGCGAAGGCAGCCCCCUGGGAUAACACUGACGCUCAUGCACGAAAGCGUGGGGAGCAAACAGGAUUAGAUACCCUAGUAGUCAACUUAUG
rnacentral:rRNA from 1 species